AAAUGACUCUCGGCAACGGAUAUCUCGGCUCUCGCAUCGAUGAAGAACGUAGCGAAAUGCGAUACUUGGUGUGAAUUGCAGAAUCCCGUGAACCAUCGAGUCUUUGAACGCAAGUUGCGCCCAAAGCCAUUAGGCUGAGGGCACGUCCGCCUGGGUGU
rnacentral:rRNA from 26 species